UGUAUUACAAAAUUAUUUGUUGAAUAUAAUAUUUUUUAUCGAAUAUGGCUAUCACGACUUCCCAUAAUUAAAUUACAGUAUUGUAGAUACCAGUAGAAUUUUUACUGAUGUAUGAUAGAUAUGUCAUUAUUGCACGUUGACGUACAUAAUUGUUGUAGAGAUUAUGACUUCAAAGAAAAGUUUAUGAUUACGUCUUAGUGAUAUCUUUCACAAAUCUUUGACAGGUUUGAACAUUUUUUUUUAACUAUUUUACGACGGAUUUUCUAUAGUCGUUUAUUACUGGAGUUUCUUCAGAAAUGCCAGAAGCGUUCUGAAUUUCAUUUUUUACUUCAAUUUCUUAUGUCUACUUAUUAUUUAUCGGUGUUUACUCGAAGAAUGCAUUAAAUAAACAUGGUUCUUGUUACACGUUGUAAAAAGUCAUAAUGCUUUUAUGAUAUACACCUGUCACGCCUCUUUGACGAAAUACAUAGUACUUCGAUGACACAAUCGAUGAAUCAUUUGUGUCUGACAAGAAAUCGUAUCGGGUAUUACACUCGCUUCUCGUGCAUGCGAAUUUCUCAAAUUACUGCAUUCUAUCCUUUUUUUUUCUUAUUGUUACAUAGAAUUUUAUAAGUGCACGACGUUUACGUUAUUCAUGCCUUUUAAAAGUAAUCGUUCUACGUGGUGUGUGCGUGAAAUUUAAAUACACGACGAUGACUAAUGUGCCACAUGGGCGGAUGGGCUGCCUUGCUGGAGUCUAACCUAACCUCGACACAUUCAAUUAAACAAAACCACAAGGCAUUAUAGAGGACAAACAGUCGGAAGAUGAACAGUCUCCAAAAAGAAGAUUGGCUGCUGUUAGUGAAAACAUGGUGAAAAGUGAAAAAAAAAAACUUUAGAGAAUGCUGUUAAUUAAAAGAUCGCUAUUUGAGUCCAAAUAAACUGAAACCCUGGUUUAACGCUGGAUUCUUUAGCGACUCCUUCUCCGUGCUACCGGGAAAUCUUUAAAAAUUAAUUAAGCUCGUCAACAUGCGUAUCACGGUGUAAUUGGAGCGACUCGGUCGGAGCAAUAACUAUAUAACGAGGGUGCGUUCACGCCCACGUACUAAGCGGAGCAUGUAUAAAAGCACCAAAUAUGGACGGUUUGUACAACGCUUCAAAUCUUUUACUAUAAAUGGUCUGCAUCUAUUAAUGACACGCCAAGGGCAUAAGUACACGCAUUUAUAGUCUUCUUACUUUCUACUUCUCGCAACGAAAGUUCGACGUGUCUGAUUUAGGUUAAGUACGGAAACGAAAAUAAAUUCAAUUAUCUUGAUAUUAGCAAUGUUACACAGAUGACUCCGUUAUAACGACAUCUGGUCAAAAUGUACUGAAAUACAGGGUGUCCCAAAAAUGUUGUAACACCUUGAAAGAGGUGGUUCAGGAGGUGAUUUGAAACAACUUUUUCCUUAGCGAAAAUGUUGUCCGAGGCUCC